rfam:Pan troglodytes isolate Yerkes chimp pedigree #C0471 (Clint) chromosome 2A, whole genome shotgun sequence.
GCUGGGCAUGGUUGGCACAUGCCUGUAAUUCCAGCUACUAGGAGGCUGAGGCAGGAGAAUCACUUGAACCCGGGGGGCGGGGGUUGCAGUGAGCUGAGAUUGCGCCACUGCACUCCAGCCUGGGUGACAGGGUGAGAUUCUGUCUCAA